ensembl:lncRNA novel transcript
GCAGUAUGAGAGGCCCAGACCCGUUGAGCCCUGAAGGUCAUUCUGGCUCUCAAAGACCUUCAAGGCGGCAAAUGCCGCAGAACCAGGGACCCCUGCGGCACAGCAGACAAACUCCUGGGAGGGGAGGCACGCAAGAAGACUGGGAACAACUUGGGAUGCCCAACAGGGUCUCCCUAUGUCGCUUGGGCUGGAGUGCAGUGGCAUGAUCCCAGCUCCCUGCAGCCUCAACCUCCUGGGCUCAAGUGGUCUUCCUGCCUCAGCCUCCCAAGUGGCUGGGACUACAGGCACUCAUCACCAAGUGUGGAUAAUUUUUUUGUAUUUUUUGUAGAGAUGGGGUUUCACCAUAUUGCCCAGGUUUGGAAAUUCUUAGUAACUGCUCUACACUUCUGUGGAUUCCUUCUGUAGAUUCUCCUGGAGUAUAUUUGCAGCCAAAUUUCUAUGGAUACUAAGGGACUAGAAUCAGGAUGAUUAGAUAAAAACAAGUAGGUGUCCAGGGGUCAGCAGUGGAGGACUGCCCAGUGUCUGGACAAGGCAAUUGGAAACAGGAGUGAGAGGGUCACAUUGCAGGUGAAGAGGCGGCAGGGUACUGAGGGUAGACAAAGAGAAGCUGUGAGAUCAUGAAAGGUCAAAGGGAUCAUAGGUGGUCACAGAGUUCAUGGGGAACACAUAGUUAAAACAUAGAACAAGAACUUUAAAGCAGGCUUGUAUGCUGGAAGACAUUCAGAGUAGUGAGGCAAAAGAGGAUUUGGGGUGAGAUAUAGCUGAGGAGAAAAAAUAUAUAUAAAAAGAACUGUUUAUGUCAUUCCUCUAUUCUGUAUCUUAGUAGAGUCUGAGAAUAUGUAAACUAAUAUAGCAUAGAUGCAAAAUGGAAAAUGACAGAACUUGCUCAAAAUACCAUAGAUCCACAUGAACACUGGUGUUGGGAGAAAAUGAUAUCUAUGUCAGGGACUGUAUCCCUGGGUCGGAGAUACCACACAGGUUAUUAUUCUACACAGGGGCUAUGAUUUGGCUGGUGUUCUCAUGCAUUGUGGAAGAUGAGGCAUUUUAUAAUGUAACUUACUAUCCCCAAAAUAAGUUAGAUAUUAUUGCCCCAAUCCUAUAGAUCAGGAAACUGAGGUUCAAAAACCUGUAGAUAACUGAUCCAAGGCCACAUUGCCAGUGACUGGCAGAGCUGGGCUUCAAACCCAGAUUCCACUCCCAAGCCACCACACAGGAGAGGGUCUUCGUGAUAUUAGGUUCACAUACCAAGGAUGUGGGGAGGCCAUAUCUGAAUCAAACCCUUUUAGGCCCAAAGCCUAAUUUCUUGCCAUGACACUAAAUCUCUGUAGACAAGCACCAAGACCAGCAACAGGCGGGGGUGAAGAAGCUGUCACGGAGGUGACGCAUUCUUUCCAGUCUUUUCAGGGUUUCAUGGAAGGUGCAGAGGGCACGGCUGUGAUUGUUAGGGGAAAAACCCCUUACCAAACUCUGUGGAAUCAUUCUCAACACAAAAGCAAAAUCCUCAAGAAACCCAACUGCACGUCAUCAGGACCUCAAGUGACAGAGCUUGCCACUGAUUCACUGAGGAAAAAAAAAAAAAGAGGAGUUUCCCUUGAAUGUGUCCAGUCUUUUGAAGGUAAAAAGAACAUAAAUAAUGGAGGGUAAACAUCAAAGAAUGAAGCUGUCCCUUUGUCUAAAGAAGAAAAGAAAUAUUCUAGGCUAAUAAAUUCCUCCUAAAUGAAAGUUAAAAGCAUGUCUUUGAAUGAAUUCCCCACAAUGGAGUGUUGUAACCUUGAAAUUCACUUGUCUAGUUGGCCUACCCAAUAUUCUCCAUGCCCCAAACACGGCUCCCUGAAGGAAAGCAAGGGUAUGAUCUGUGAUAACCACAAGCAUAAACAACCAGGAGGAAUAAAGUUGCAGUUUUCUUGAGAUUAUGAGAACAUCUUUGCAAGAGAUUUCUAACAAUGUCGUCUCUCUUUGGACCUUUCUCUUUCUCUUUGGAGCAGCUGCUGGUAUACCCACUAAGUCAUGGGAGGGGAUGGUUUCCAUGAAGAGCACUGAGCUCUGAUCUCAUGGUGUCCAGAAGAUAGAAAUCUUCCCCUGCUCCUGACGUCUUAGCCACAUGCCAUGCCUCCUUCUUUCCUGGAAGUCCUCUGGCUCCUUCCUUCCUCUUUGAUCUCUCCCUAAUUUGAACAACUGCUACACUUUGUACUCUUGGUUGAAAGCAUGGAUUCUGUCGUUAUUUUGCUUCUAUUAGUUUUCUUUCUCCUGGUUUCAAGUGCUUUAUAUUUCCUGUGACUUCCCCUCGAUGCUGAGUAAAUAGUUGUCUCUCAGUAAAUACACUGCUGAUUCAGUGACAGAUUAAGAAUUUAAGAGUUCUUGGUUUCACAGUAAGCUAAAGACAGAGCUGCCCUGGAGAAGAAAAACACCCCUCCCAUUUCGCCCCAGGAGGGCUGCCUCCUUCCCCAGAAGCAAGUUCUCUUUACCAAAGAGGAGAGGAAGAGCCCCGCAGAAGAAAAUGAGUUAUCAUACAUACUGUGAAUUCCCAGCAUCUAAAUGUGCCACAAAAGCACAGGCUAAGAUUGCUGCAACUGGUGCAUUAUUUACUUUAAGUAACAAGGCUUGGAGAUGGUGAAUGCAGAACCUGUGGUUGCUUGGUAAUGACUACUCUGUCUUUUUUUCAGUUAUGUUGAAGGUUGGCAAGAGUAUAUGACAGAUGAAAGCCCCAUUAGAACCUACAUCUAGUUUGCCUCUGAGUAGGGAUUCAUUCUUGAGUCUUCUAAAUCCACCCACCAAGAGUUAGAUUAUGGCUCCCAGGGACCUAGAGAGAUGCUGCUGUCCACUGAGCCAGAUUUGAUCUUUUCUCUCCUGCUCAAAACCUCCAGAGACUCCCUUUUAGCUACUGGAUAGAGUCAAAGGCCUGCCAUGUGCGAUCCUUGGUUACUGUAUUCCGGUUUGGAAAAAGAAACCCAACCAUAAUAGACAUUUGGGGGACAUUUGUGCACAUUAAAAAAUGAAUGAGGCAUGGGUGAUGUUAGGGAAUCAUAGUUCACUUUGUUGGAUGUGAUCAUGGCAAUGUGGCUAUGUAGGUAUGCUGAUGUAUGCAGGGAUGAAGGGUCCUGAAGCCUGCAAUUUACACUGAAGUGGAUGACUGAAAAUCAAACUUUUUGAUAGGUAGGCAGAGAGGAAGAGAGAAAGAUGAUGUUAAUAUGGCAAAAUAUUAGCACUUGUUAGAUUUGGAUAAUGGAUUUCUCUGUUCACUUCAGAAGCAUAGAAGGAUAAAUUUUCUUUUAAGCAAAUAAGUAUCAGAAUUUUGUGCAUGAUAUGGAAUUGAGUGUUAAAGGUCAGAACUAGGAUAUUAUAAUCUUUGUCUCUCUAUCUCAUACUAUAUGUAAGAUCAUCAAUCAAAUUGCAUUCUAGGGUUAGGUAGUUUGAGACUUGUUUUGUUUUGAAUCUGAGUGAUCAG